rnacentral:rRNA from 1 species
AUUGAACGCUGGCGGCAGGCCUAACACAUGCAAGUCGAGCGGAGGAAUGCAGCUUGCUCCUCGGUUCAGCGGCGGACGGGUGAGGAAUGCCUAGGAAUCUGCCUGGUAGUUGGUGAUAACGUCCGGAAACUGGCACUAAUACCGCAUACGGCCUGAGGGAGAUAGUUGGGUAUCUGCGGACUUCACGCUAGCAUAGGAGCCUAGGUCGGAUUAGCUAGUUGGUGGGGUAAAGGCCUACCAAGGCGACGAUCCGUAACUGGUCUGAGAGGAUGAUCAGUCACACUGGAACUGAGACACGGUCCAGACUCCUACGGGAGGCAGCAGUGGGGAAUAUUGGACAAUGGGCGAAAGCCUGAUCCAGCAACGCCGCGUGUGUGAAGAAGGUCUUCGGAUUGUAAAGCACUUUAAGUUGGGAGGAAGGGCAGUAAGUUAAUACCUUGCUGUAUUGACGUUACCAACAGAGAAAGCCACGGCUAACUUCGUG